rnacentral:rRNA from 1 species
UGGGGAAUAUUGCACAAUGGGCGAAAGCCUGAUGCAGCAACGCCGCGUGAGCGAGGAAGGCCUUUGGGUCGUAAAGCUCUGUCCAAAGGGAAGAAACAAAUGACGGUACCUUUGGAGGAAGCCCCGACUAACUACGUGCCAGCAGCCGCGGUAAUACGUAGGGGGCGAGCGUUAUCCGGAAUUAUUGGGCGUAAAGAGUGCGUAGGUGGUUUGUUAAGCGUGGGGUGAAAGGCAGCGGCUCAACCGUUGUGAGCCUUGCGAACUGGAAGACUUGAGUGCAGGAGAGGAAAGCGGAAUUCCUAGUGUAGCGGUGAAAUGCGUAGAUAUUAGGAGGAACACCAGUGGCGAAGGCGGCUUUCUGGACUGUAACUGACACUGAGGCACGAAAGCGUGGGGAGCAAACA